GUGAGGAAUUUUCCGCAAUGGGCGAAAGCCUGACGGAGCAAUGCCGCGUGAAGGAUGAAGGCCUAUGGGUUGUAAACUUCUUUUCUCAGAAAAGAAUUAUGACGGUAUCUGAGGAAUAAGCAUCGGCUAACUCUGUGCCAGCAGCCGCGGUAAGACAGAGGAUGCAAGCGUUAUCCGGAAUGAUUGGGCGUAAAGCGUCUGUAGGUUGUUUAAAAAGUAUUCUGUCAAAGAUUAGGGCUUAACCCUAGAUAGGCAGAAUAAACUUUUAAGCUAGAGGUUGGUAGAAGCAGAGGGAAUUCCCGGUGGAGCGGUGAAAUGCGUAGAUAUCGGGAGGAACACCAAAGGCGAAGGCACUCUGCUGGGCCAAUACUAACACUGAGAGACGAAAGCGAGGGGAGCAAAUGGGAUUAGAUACCCGAGUAGUCC
rnacentral:rRNA from 1 species